AUUGAACGCUGGCGGCAUGCCUUACACAUGCAAGUCGAACGGCAGCACGGGUGCUUGCACCUGGUGGCGAGUGGCGAACGGGUGAGUAAUACAUCGGAACGUACCUUAUCGUGGGGGAUAACGCAGCGAAAGCUGUGCUAAUACCGCAUACGCCCUGAGGGGGAAAGCGGGGGAUCGCAAGACCUCGCGCGAUUAGAGCGGCCGAUGCCUGAUUAGCUUGUUGGUGGGGUAAAAGCCCACCAAGGCGACGUUCAGUAGCUGGUCUGAGAGGACGAUCAGCCACACUGGGACUGGGACACGGCCCAGACUCAUACGGGAGGCAGCAGUGGGGAAUUUUGGACAAUGGGGGCAACCCUGAUCCAGCAAUGCCGCGUGAGUGAAGAAGGCCUUCGGGUUGUAAAGCUCUUUUGUCAGGGAAGAAACACCGGCUCUAACACAGUCCGGGAAUGACGGUACCUGAAGAAUAAGCACCGGCUAACUACGUGCCAGCCGCCGCCGUAA
rnacentral:rRNA from 1 species